AGCCUAAACCUUUAGCAAUAAAGGCAUGGUGAACAAGUCGUAUAAGGCAUAAAGAACCCAUCAGGGGGUCGCCUUAUACGCCAUGUCAGGAAACUGGCAUGAGAGACUUCGGUCUCU
rnacentral:sRNA from 1 species